rnacentral:rRNA from 1 species
GUCUACGGCCACACCACCCUGACUCCGCCGAUCCCGUCUGACCUCGGAAGCUAAGCAGGGUCGGGCCCGGUCAGUACCCGGAUGGGAGACCGCCCGGGAACCCCGGGUGCCGUAGGCU